rnacentral:tRNA from 1 species
GCCUGGUUGGCUCAGCUGGUAGAGCAUGUGACUCUUAAUCUCUGGGUUGUGAGUUUGAGCCCCACGUUGGGUG